UAGGGAAUCUUCCGCAAUGGGCGAAAGCCUGACGGAGCAACGCCGUGUGAGUGAUGAAGGUCUUCGGAUCGUAAAACUCUGUUAUUAGGGAAGAACAAAUGUGUAAGUAACUAUGCACGUCUUGACGGUACCUAAUCAGAAAGCCACGGCUAACUACGUGCCAGCAGCCGCGGUAAUACGUAGGUGGCAAGCGUUAUCCGGAAUUAUUGGGCGUAAAGCGCGCGUAGGCGGUUUUUUAAGUCUGAUGUGAAAGCCCACGGCUCAACCGUGGAGGGUCAUUGGAAACUGGAAAACUUGAGUGCAGAAGAGGAAAGCGGAAUUCCAUGUGUAGCGGUGAAAUGCGCAGAGAUAUGGAGGAACACCAGUGGCGAAGGCGACUUUCUGGUCUGUAACUGACGCUGAUGUGCGAAAGCGUGGGGAUCAAACAGG
rnacentral:rRNA from 1 species